UACGUAGGGUGCGAGCGUUGUCCGGAAUUACUGGGCGUAAAGAGCUCGUAGGUGGUUUGUCGCGUUAUUCGUGAAAACUCACAACUCAAUUGUGGGCGUGCGGGCGAUACGGGCAGACUGGAGUACUGCAGGGGAGACUGGAAUUCCUGGUGUAGCGGUGGAAUGCGCAGAUAUCAGGAGGAACACCGGUGGCGAAGGCGGGUCUCUGGGCAGUAACUGACGCUGAGGAGCGAAAGCGUGGGAGCGAACAGG
rnacentral:rRNA from 1 species